rnacentral:rRNA from 1 species
AAUAGAUACCCGGGUAGUCCACGCCGUAAACGAUGAGUGCUAAGUGUUAGGGGGUUUCCGCCCCUUAGUGCUGCAGCUAACGCAUUAAGCACUCCGCCUGGGGAGUACGGCCGCAAGGCUGAAACUCAAAGGAAUUGACGGGGGCCCGCACAAGCGGUGGAGCAUGUGGUUUAAUUCGAAGCAACGCGAAGAACCUUACCAGGUCUUGACAUCCUCUGACAACCCUAGAGAUAGGGCGUUCCCCUUCGGGGGACAGAGUGACAGGUGGUGCAUGGUUGUCGUCAGCUCGUGUCGUGAGAUGUUGGGUUAAGUCCCGCAACGAGCGCAACCCUUGAUCUUAGUUGCCAGCAUUUAGUUGGGCACUCUAAGGUGACUGCCGGUGACAAACCGGAGGAAGGUGGGGAUGACGUCAAAUCAUCAUGCCCCUUAUGACCUGGGCUACACACGUGCUACAAUGGAUGGUACAAAGGGCUGCCAAACCGCGAGGUUGAGCGAAUCCCAUAAAACCAUUCUCAGUUCGGAUUGCAGGCUGCAACUCG